AGGUGGCGAAGGCUCCUGAUGGAAAUGGAGGGUUGUAUUCUGCUCUUAAAUCUACAAAAUUACUAGAAGAUAUGUCCUCGAGAGGGGUCAAAUAUGUUGAUUGUUAUGUGGUUGAUAAUGCACUGAGCAGGUUCGUGUUGCUGAUCCAACAUUCUUAGGAUAUUUUAUUGAUAAAGGUGCCGCUGCAGCAGCAAAGGUUGUUCGCAAGGAACAAUAAAAUGCAUCAGAGUUUGUCAUUAGAUGCUUCAUUAGGAGUUCAACUUUAGCAUAGCUGCAGUUUGGCAUUUGAGGAUAAAACUUCUUUGAUCAUUUACAAAGACUCUUUUCUUUUAGUUGUUAUUGGCAAUUGGAUGAUAAUGAUUAUGCAUAAUCAUUUUCUCCAUGCCAUGAAGCAUCUGAUUGAAACAAAUUUUCCUUGCACUCUUUAAAGUAGCUCAGGGCUUCUCGUCAAGAUUUGGUGGCAUUUAAAUUUUUUAUCAUGGACAUGUAUAGAAAUAUGUAAGUUUGCACGUUUAACUCAUCAGGUUUCUUGCUGUAAAUAUAACAAAGAAUUCUUCA